ACAAGUACCCGUGAGGGAAAGUUGCAAAGCACUUUGAAGAGAGAGUUAAAGAGGACGUGAAACCGGUGAGGUGGAAACGGACAGAGCCGGCGUAUCUGGCCUGCAUUCAGCCGUGGGCCUUCUGGCGUCAGGGAUGCCGCUCUCCAGAUUGGGACGGUGGCCUGUCUGCUGGGAGGUGCAUGGUGCAUUUGCAGGCCGAGUGCGCGGAGGCGCUCGGUGCAGCGGCAUGAGCUCAGUGUUGAGGCCAGGCUCGCAAGAGUGCUGGUACCCGCGCUGGGGGAGUGCUGUUUGUGCUGGGUGUUUUGUGGUGAGCAAUGGUCCCGGGCCGGUGCGGGUGCCGAGCUGGCAGUGGGAGGCGGUCGCGUGCGACACGUGCCUGCGGUCAGUUCGGUCCUGCGCAGGCUCUCAUCUGCUCGUCCUCGGUGUAAAAGCCGGUCAUCUGUCCGACCCGUCUUGAAACACGGACCAAGGAGUUUAGCGUGUGCGCGAGUCAUUGGGCGUUGAAAACCCAGAGGCGCAAUGAAAGUGAAGGACUCCCUUGCGGAGCUGAUGUGUGAUCCUGGGCCCCRCGGGGCCCGGGCGCAACAUAGUCCCGUCCCGACCGCAUGCGGUGGGGCGGAGACAGAGCGUACGCGCUGAGACCCGAAAGAUGGUGAACUAUUCCUGAGCAGGAUGAAGCCAGAGGAAACUCUGGUGGAAGUCCGAAGCGAUUCUGACGUGCAAAUCGAUCGUCUGACUUGGGUAUAGGGGCGAAAGACUAAUCGAACCAUCUAGUAGCUGG
rnacentral:rRNA from 1 species